rnacentral:rRNA from 1 species
AUGCUUUGCACCGCCGCCACCGCAGCGCCUCGCCGUCGUAGCUGCAUAGCCGAGAGCCACCGACAGACCGCACAGCAGGAAAAACACCGCCCACCAAACACCUACAACCUGGCCAAGGAUUCGCAGCCACCCAACUCCUCCAGCAAGGGCAAGGACCACCACCGAAGGCUAUCAUCCGCUCCAAGUGACAGCCUUGCGGCGAUCCAACACCAAGUCGCGGACAACUCCCACGCCGGCACCACCGGGAGAGCACCGUCGCUCACCACACAAGCCCAGAGGUGGCCCGGACGCUCGCUGCUCGCCAGGAACUCCAUCCUAGCCGAGCCAUGUUAG